rnacentral:rRNA from 1 species
GGUGGUGCAUGGUUGUCGUCAGCUCGUGUCGUGAGAUGUUGGGUUAAGUCCCGCAACGAGCGCAACCCUUAUUACUAGUUGCCAGCAUUCAGUUGGGCACUCUAGUGAGACUGCCGGUGACAAACCGGAGGAAGGUGGGGAUGACGUCAAAUCAUCAUGCCCCUUAUGACCUGGGCUACACACGUGCUACAAUGGCGUAUACAACGAGUUGCCAACCCGCGAGGGUGAGCUAAUCUCUUAAAGUACGUCUCAGUUCGGAUUGUAGGCUGCAACUCGCCUACAUGAAGUCGGAAUCGCUAGUAAUCGCGGAUCAGCACGCCGCGGUGAAUACGUUCCCGGGUCUUGUACAC